AAAGUUGAUGAUUUCGGUCAAAGUUGGUGGAAACUUGAAGUUUGCAGCCAAAGAUGAUGAUUUCGGUCAAAGUAGAUGUUUUUGGUCAAAGUUGGUACAAACUUAAAGUUUGCGACCAAAGAUGAUGAUUUCGGUCAAAGUUGAUGUUUUUGGUCAAAGUUGGUGGAAACUGGAAGUUUGCAACCAAAGAUGAUGAUUUCGGUCAAAGUAGAUGUUUUUGGUCAAAGUUGGUGGAAACUGGAAGUUUGCAACGAAAGAUGAUGAUUUCCGUCAAAGUAGAUGUUUUUGGUCGAAGUUGGUGGAAACUUGAAGUUUGCACCCAAAGAUGAUGAUUUCGGUCAAAGUUGAUGUUUUUGGUCAAAGUUGGUGGAAACUGGAAGUUUGCAACGAAAGAUGAUGAUUUCCGUCAAAGUAGAUGUUUUUGGUCAAAGUUGGUGGAAACUUGAAGUUUGCAACCAAAGAUGAUGAUUUCCGUCAAAGUAGAUGUUUUUUUUUCAAAGUUGGUGGAAACUUGAAGUUUGCGACCAAAGAUGAUGAUUUCGGUCAAAGUAGAUGUUUUUGGUCAAAGUUGAUGUUUUUGGUCAAAGUUGGUGGAAACUGGAAGUUUGCGACCAAAGAUGAUGAUUUCGGUCAAAGUAGAUGUUUUUGGUCAAAGUUGGUUGGAACUCGAAGUUUGCGACCAAAGAUGAUGAUUUCCGUCAAAGUAGAUGUUUUUUUUCAAAGUUGGUGGAAACUUGAAGUUUGCACCCAAAGAUGAUGGUUUCGGUCAAAGUAGAUGUUUUUGGUCAAAGUUGGUAGAAACUUGAAGUUUGCAACCAAAGAUGAUGUUUUCGGUCAAAGUUGAUGUUUUUGGUCAAAGUUGAUGUUUUUGGUCAAAGUUGGUAGAAACUUGAAGUUUGCAACCCAAGAUGAUGAUUUCGGUCAAAGUUGAUGUUUUUGGUCAAAGUUGGUGGAAACUGGAAGUUUGCAACGAAAGAUGAUGAUUUCCGUCAAAGUAGAUGUUUUUGGUCAAAGUUGGUGGAAACUGGAAGUUUGCAACCAAAUAAGAUGAUUUCGGUCAAAGUAGAUGUUUUUGGUCAAAGUUGGUGGAAACUGGAAGUUUGCAACCAAAGAUGAUGAUUUUGGUCAAAGUAGUUGUUUUCGGUCAAAGUAGAUGUUUUUGGUCAAAGUUGGUGAAAACUUGAAGUUUGCAACCAAAGAUGAUGAUUUCGGUCAAAGUAGAUGUUUUUGGUCAAAGUUGGUGGAAACUUGAAUUUUGCAACCAAAGAUGAUGUUUUCGGUCAAAAUAGAUGUUUUUGGUCAAAGUUGGUGGAAACUGGAAGUUUGCAACCAAAUAAGAUGAUUUCGGUCAAAGUAGAUGUUUUUGGUCAAAGUUGGUGGAAACUUGAAGUUUGCAACCAAAGAUGAUGUAUUUGCUCAAAGUAGAUGUUUUUGGUCAAAGUUGGUGGAAACUGGAAGUUUGCAACCAAAGAUGAUGAUUUCGGUCAAAGUAGAUGUUUUUGGUCAAAGUUGGUGGAAACUGGAAGUUUGCGACUAAAGUUGAUGUUUUCGGUCAAAGUUGAUGUUUUUGGUCAAAGUUGGUGGAAACUGGAAGUUUGCGACUAAAGUUGAUGUUUUCGGUCAAAGUAGAUGUUUUUGGUCAAAGUUGGUGGAAACUUGAAGUUUGCAACCAAAGAUGAUGUUUUCGGUUAAAGUUGAUGUUUAUUUUCAAAGUUGGUGGAAACUUGAAGUUUGCAACCAAAGAUGAUGAUUUCGGUCAAAGUUGAUGUUUUUGGUCAAAGUUGGUUGAAACUGGAAGUUUGCAACCAAAGAUGAUGUUUUCGGUCAAAGUAGAUGUUUUUGGUCAAAGUUGGUGGAAACUUGAAGUUUCCAACCAAAGAUGAUGAUUUCGGUCAAAGUAGAUGUUUUUGGUCAAAGUUGGUGGAAACUGAAAGUUUGCAACCAAAGAUGAUGUUUUCGGUCAAAGUAGAUGUUUUUGGUCAAAGUUGGUGGAAACCUGAUGUCGUGAACGCAACGGUCAAUCGUUCUAAUUCACGUUUUUCAAAUACAUUUCAAACUAUUAUAUGAUCAUUUAAGAGAAUUACAAGCCAUAGAUUAGACUCGACGUCGAUCAAGACGAACGUAGCACAGGCAAUAAGUUCGGGAAGAAAAAUGAAUAAAGAAUGGUACGCCGUUCUAAAUAAACAGGAUGCUACGCGGGAUCGCCUGGCCAACUUAGGUUCAUAUCUACUGUUACGUAUGCGACAAAAUUCAAAGCGUACGCAUGAGAAUUCGAACUAUCGUAAGAAAUUGAAUUUGAAAUAGCUACGCAACAUAAACGUAUUGACAUCCUAGAAAAGACAUGUGGUUAAUCUCAGCUUUCAGGUCAAAUAAUGUUCUACCAACAUUAACAUGUUGACAUCCUAGAAAAGCCAUGUGUGUAAUCUCAGCUUUCAGGUCAAAAUAAUGUUCUAUGAGAAAACGUAAGCGCAAUUACAUAUCGAUGCAUCUCAAGGACCAUAUGCAACAUUAACAUAAAAAGAUCCCAAAUCCUUACCCACUUCAUACGUUACGUAACAUGAUCAUAGUUUCAGGCAAUAUCAUAAAACGUCCAAAAAGGACGAAGCACUUGACAAUCGAAACUAAACAUAUUACUGGCAAUAAGCAAAGGCAGCAUAACUGCAUACGGGCAAACUAUAACCGAGG